GACUGUGUAGCUCAAAGGUAGAGCUUGUGUCUAGCAUGCAAGAGACCAUGGGUUUGACUCCCAGCACCACCA
rnacentral:tRNA from 1 species